rnacentral:rRNA from 1 species
AUCUACAGCCAUAUCACCCUGAACGUGCCGGAUCUCAUCUGAUCUCAGAAGCUAAGCAGGGUCAAGCCUGGUUAGUACUUGGAUGGGACUCUCUAUUAUAUAUCAGAAUUUAGGUGUAUAAU